CAUGUUCUCACUAGGAGGAAUAUUACUCCACUGCUGCCUUCUCUUCGCUGGUUGCCACGAAGAUUUAGAAUUGAGUUCAAAGUUUUGGUGCUAAAGCGUCAAGCGCUACACGAAGCUCUAAGAUCAUCAAACCAAGAGCUGUUAGUUGUUCCUGGUAAACAGCACCGCUGCCUCACGUUCACAGCAUGCUCCACGACCACUGGUGAGGGGCGCAAUCGGAACCGUGAAGGAGGAAUGAACGGGACAUGUGUACAGAACCAUUAAGCUCCAUGGCAACGGAAGCUGCAACAGACUGGCCACCUCUUUCAUUGCGCCUCAUAUCGCCCUGAUGCCACUCUGACAAUGCACGCGCGCGCACCCACACAUCCCUGUCGGAACACAUCACGGAAGACGGCGGGCGUCUCUUAGCCGAAUCUCAUUCAAGGCGACAGGCUUCACGCGGCUGCCAAUAAGCCGAUUUCCCUCAUGCAGAAAGAUGGGAGGGGGAGAAAAAGGAACCGGAUCUCCCUGUCUAGUUCUCUCCUACAGGAGCUCACCUCCGGUUGGGACGUCCGCGUUUCAAACCCAGCCUGCUGGCGUGGACAGCACGCUGAGACAAAGCACGAGCCCGGACAAACAUCCUACUAAUAAACUUUAUUGUGCAUUACAGUAAAACAGAAUGCUUCAGGACAUCCCUGUAAGGCAACCUACUGUCAUACAAGUCUGUAGUGUAUCGCAGAUGAGAGGACGAAGCGGGUUUGCUACAGACCGCAGGGCUGGAGGCUGGCUGUGCAUGCAGGGCAGCAUGGGUGGAGCCUGUCGGUCGCUGGUCCCGUGCCCCAGACACAGCGCGCUGCCGGCAGAGGAGGAGGAGGCCACACAGCAGGGAAUGGUCGUACAAGUCCGAUUUAUUCCGUGUGCAUCGCCAGGAUAUAAAUAUGGACCAAACUUAGAAAACCGGAGUGCUGGAAGCCCAAGCCUGUGUACACGUAUGUUAGCAAUUCCGCUUCUUGUACAAGCUCUUUUUUUUUUUCUUAACAGUAACAUUUUUGAAUUUGGUACCAUGUUAACCGGUGCGAUGUCAUAUCUGGUUUUUUUCCUGCUAUUUGUUUUCUUCUUUUUUUUUUUUAUCUUAAACUACAUUACAUGUAUGAACAAUGAGUCAACAAAAUAUUUAUUUACAAGAGAACUGUGGCAAAAUUUCUACAGUUACACUGAGUUAAAAUAGUACAUCUGUUUCUGUGUUUCAGCCCCAAGAGAAUCAAUGGCCUUUUCACCUGAAAGCAAAGUUGAGUGGAGCCAUUCACACAUUCUCUCUUUUACUACAAUAAUAAUAUACUUUUUUUUCAGGAUGGCUAUUAUUCUCAAGCCCGACAUAUCAUAUAAAAAUAAUGUAACAUUAAGACAACAUUAGACAAGAAUUGCACAUUAAUAAUAAUAAUAAUAAUAAUAAUAAUAAUAAUAAUAAUAGUUGAUUAAGAAUUAGAAUAAUGGCAAUAUAGACUUCUAUUAAACAGUAAAAUGUUUUGCCAAUAUGAAUAGUAAUCUGCAUGGCAUUGUCAGUCAUGUCAACAACAAAUCUGUAGUGAUUUUGGCACGAGACGUGUCAAAUUUCAUGGUUGUCCAGUGCAAUAAAUCCAUUCACAUUGUGCAUAAUAUUCAUAACGUUUCAUCAACCAUAAACAAAACGAAGGGAAACCAAAGAGGACAACUGAAAAAAUGACAAUAUGGCAAACCAGGAAGUCCACUUUCACCCCAGUCUCCACAUGUCGUAGUAUUUUGGACUAAUGAAUUAAACAAUAGAAGUCUGUCAGAGUCACCAUGGUGUAUGUCCUAUCUCCAUAGCAACUUGGUGUAUGGUGUAUGUCCUAUCUCCAUAGCAACUUGCCUUUUUCCCCCAACUGUCUCCCUUGCACAGCGUAGUCCACCGGCCCUCGUGACAGGGCACGCAAUGCAGAAAAGCGCACGUUCGAACCGGACAGAUCCCUGCCGUCGCAUGGUCCGCUGGAGCGGGUGCGCUCGCGCGUGCGUUCCCGCCGCAAACGGCCAAAGAUCCGUGCCAGUGGUCCUUUGUGCACCGCGUUUAAUUUAAAGGUCCAUUUGCGAGAGGCUCUGCCAAGUUUUGUAGUCCAGUGACACUUUUAGGCUCCAUAUUUGUAGUCCUUUUUGCAAUUGUGUGUGUGAGAGGGUCCGUGUUAGGGGCUGGCUACAUUCUUUGAUUUCCACAGUAAUAGACAUGGGCGUCCGGCACUGCCCUGCGAACGAGAUUACAUCACUCAUCUAAAGCGUCCAUCAAAAAAAAAGGGGAAAAAAAAAAAAAAAAAAAGCCUCUCAGAUGCCCCUUCACCAGUCCCGCACGGACCACGCGCUCCACAGAUGCCCCUUCACCAGUCCCGCACGGACCACGCGCUCCACAGAUGCCCCUUCACCAGUCCCGCACGGACCACGCGCUCCACAGAUGCCCCUUCACCAGUCCCGCACGGACCACGCGCUCCACAGAUGCCCCUUCACCAGUCCCGCACGGACCACGCGCUCCACAGAUGCCCCUUCACCAGUCCCGCACGGACCACGCGCUCCACAGGCCAAAGUGCCUGCUUCGGGGCCACAUGCGUUCAAAGCCACCCCCCUCCCCCAAAAAACCAUUCAUAGUUAAAAGUCGCUCGAAAAUGCUUCCACGUAAAAGAAGCUCCCUUUAAAUGCAGUAUCGACGCGCUGUUUGUCGCGAGAUGGGUGGAUACGAACUGAACUUAAGACGCGGAUUGUACCACCAGCACGGUUUUUAGAGGAAGCCAAACCCCAGGCUGUCCUGUGUGGGCCGUUCUGGAUACAUUUGCAAAAGGAAAAAAAAAAAAAUUAAAAAUAAAAAAUCCAAAAUAAAGGGUGUAAUUUCUGACAAGCGUUCUUUUUAAAAUGAAAAUUUUGCUACAUAACACACAAGCAAAAUGUCCUUAAGUAGGAUCCAAUCUGUGUUCCUACCCGUGCUGCGCAGAGUGGGCGUCUCGACAGACCCUCCUCUUGCUAGCCCCAAACCCUUGGCGGCUAACUGCCCCUCACGGCAGGUACAAACUAGCAGCAGCAUUACGGUUUUAGAGUUCUCAUUCAAGCAGUCGGGAGGGUUUAGGGUGUGUUCGUGUAUACGUGUGUCGUGGGGCUUGGGCAGCUGCCUCCCGAAGGAACGAGUGCAACGGAGGAGAGAGGGGAAAAAAAAUGGGAGGAAAAAUUGUUUAAAAAAAAAAAAAAAACCAAAAA